UGUUCAGGCAUACUCUAUGGAGCUGGUUCUAGGCGAUCGUGACGACGUGUGUCAGAGGUCAAGGAGAGGUAUGCUAAGGUGUGUCUGACUUGCCUCCCUUGCACCGCCCCUCACUGGUCAUCUAUCCUCCGCUACAGCUUCCGUUCAUCAGUGGAUGAAGGGUGUCAUCUCCCUCGAUUCUGCCAUGGACCCCGAGUACUGGGAAAUCAUCAGCACCUUCCUACACCAAGGCCCCCACCUACGUCUCCAAGAGCUGUAUUAUUGAUCUUUUUCCCCGUCCCAACUCCCAAAUAGGGGGAGCAGAAAGAAUCAUACUACAGGAGAUGCAAGAAGUUCUUUCUACGGAGGAGUUGUCUGUUGCUAUUAGAUCCACGAAGAUGAAGGGAUUUGAGAGCUUUACAAGGAUUCUGGAGGAACAUAAAGCUUAAGCAUUGCCUGGAUAAAUUUGAGCAUAUCCUUAAUUUUCUGCUCU